AUCCUCUCUCCUAUUAAAUGGAGGCCAUCAGCACGCUUAGACACGCCUGCCAGCUUUAAGAGUUUAGGGCUAAACAAAUGAAGCACACAGUGCACUUCAAAGACUUCGAGAGGAAGGCUCAGUGUGCACAGAGGCCCAGGAACCCUGAGCUUCCCCAGGAUGCCCAUCCUGAGCCCUCAGGGGCCAUCUAACCCACUCAAACUCCAAACACUAGUCCCUCCCCCAUCACAAGGAAAGACAGACACAGACACAGGAAGCAUCAACUCUGAGGCUUUGGCCAGGAUGUGAGCCCGACUUUCGCAGCCCCAACUGGCAGGCUGACCUCAUGUGAACUCCCUGGCGAUGGCAUCCUGGAGACACCCACAUGGCUGAGCUGGCAUCAUAGGCACUCAUAAUCCAGGUUCAGUUUCUGCCAGCACUGAUUUGGUUUAUUCCACAUGGCUUGGGCCACUGCGGGACUCCAUUUGUUCUGGGGCCACCUUCCUGUCACCUUUUACUGUUUCUUGAGUUAGCAAGAAAGGCAGAUCCGACUGAAGACUCCAGCACUCUCCUCAGCUGCAGCCCCCACAAAGCUCCGCGAAGUCCUUUCUCCCACAGGACAGAUCUGAGGCACCCACCAUUAGAAGAAAGGAGUGGAGAAAUGAUAUGCAGGAAGAAGGCCCAUUCUGAUUCACCAAUCGCAUGGACGCACUUUCCUACCAGGCUAGG
rnacentral:lncRNA from 1 species